rnacentral:rRNA from 1 species
UACGUAGGGUGCAAGCGUUAAUCGGAAUUACUGGGCGUAAAGCGUGCGCAGGCGGCUUUGCAAGUCAGCUGUGAAAUCCCCGGGCUCAACCUGGGAACUGCAUUUGUGACUGCAAGGCUGGAGUACGGCAGAGGGGGAUGGAAUUCCGCGUGUAGCAGUGAAAUGCGUAGAUAUGCGGAGGAACACCGAUGGCGAAGGCAAUCCCCUGGGCCUGUACUGACGCUCAUGCACGAAAGCGUGGGAGCAAACAGG